rnacentral:rRNA from 1 species
AUUGAACGCUGGCGGCAGGCCUAACACAUGCAAGUCGAGCGGAUGAAGGGAGCUUGCUCCUGGAUUCAGCGGCGGACGGGUGGGUAAUGCCUAGGAAUCUGCCUGGUAGUGGGGGAUAACGUCCGGAAACGGGCGCUAAUACCGCAUACGUCCUGAGGUAGAAAGUGGGGGAUCUUCGGACCUCACGCUAUCAGAUGAGCCUAGGUCGGAUUAGCUAGUUGGUGGGGUAAAGGCCUACCAAGGCGACGAUCCGUAACUGGUCUGAGAGGAUGAUCAGUCACACUGGAACUGAGACACGGUCCAGACUCCUACGGGAGGCAGCAGUGGGGAAUAUUGGACAAAGGGCGAAAGCCUGAUCCAGCCAUGCCGCGUGUGUGAAGAAGGUCUUCGGAUUGUAAAGCACUUUAAGUUGGGAGGAAGGUCAGUAAGUUAAUACCUUGAUGUUUUGACGGUACCAACAGAAUAAGCACCGGCUAACUUCGUG